rnacentral:rRNA from 1 species
UUAAAAUGUAAAAUUUAAUUCCAAAUUAGUAUUAGUUAUGAUCUUGAAAAUUAAAAAAUUUGGCGGUAUUUUAGUCUAUUCAGAGGAACCUGUUCUAUAAUUGAUAGUCCACGAUUAACUUUACUUGAUUUAUAAAUUUGUAUAUCGUCGUUUUAAUAAUUUUAUAAGAAGAUAAAUUUUUAAAAAUUUAAAAGUAAAAAAAUGUCAGAUCAAGGUGCAGUUGAUAAUUAAGAAGAAAUGGGUUACAAUAAAUUUAUUUAUAUGAAAUAGUAUAUGAAAAGUUAUUAUGAAGGUGGAUUUGAUAGUAAUAAAAUUUAAUUAAAUUUUAUGAUUUAAGCUCUAAAAUAUGU